CCUACGGGAGGCAGCAGUGAGGAAUAUUGGUCAAUGGCCGGAAGGCUGAACCAGCCAUGCCGCGUGAAGGUCAGUGCCCUAUGGGCGUUAAACUUCUUUUGUGCGGGAACAAUAAUGGUCACGUGUGGCCAGACGAGAGUACCGUACGAAUAAGCAUCGGCUAACUCCGUUCCAGCAGCCGCGGUAAUCCGGGGGAUGCCAACGUUAUCCGGAUUUAUUGGGGUUAAAGGGGGCUUAGGCUGUGAGGUAAGUCAGCGGUGAAAUGCCCCCGCGCAACGGGGGGAAGUGCCAUUGAUACUGCCUUGCUGGAAGGCGGAUGACGUGGGAGGAAUGUGUGGUGUAGCGGUGAAAUGCAUAGAUAUCACAAAGAACACCGAUUGCGAAGGCAUCUCACGAAUCCGCGAUUGACGCUGAUGCACGAAAGCGUGGGUAUCAAACAGGAUUAGAUACCCGGGUAGUC
rnacentral:rRNA from 1 species